AGGGUUUGAUCAUGGCUCAGGAUGAACGCUAGCGGCAGGCCUAACACAUGCAAGUAGAACGGUAACAGGGAGAGCUUGCUCUCCGCUGACGAGUUGCGAACGGGUGCGUAACGCGUAUGCAACCUACCCAUAACAGGGGGAUAGCCCAUAGAAAUGUGGAUUAAUACCCCAUAACAUCAUAGAUUGGCAUCAUGACAUGAUUAAAACUCCGGUGGUUAUGGAUGGGCAUGCGUGACAUUAGCUAGUUGGUGAGGUAACUGCUCACCAAGGCGACGAUGUCUAGGGGUUCUGAGAGGAUGAUCCCCCACACUGGUACUGAGACACGGACCAGACUCCUACGGGAGGCAGCAGUGAGGAAUAUUGCGCAAUGGAGGAAACUCUGACGCAGCCAUGCCGCGUGCAGGAAGACUGCCCUAUGGGUUGUAAACUGCUUUUAUAUAGGAAGAACUACAGCUACGUGUAGCUGUUUGACGGUACUAUACGAAUAAGGACCGGCUAACUCCGUGCCAGCCGCCGCGGUAAUAC
rnacentral:rRNA from 1 species